AUAAAACCUUUGCUUUUGAGGUACUAACUGUUUUCUCCUGGAAUUUUUUUUGCCUGAGAUUUUUUGCUGCCAGCUAUCCCUUCGGGACCACUCUUAUGUAUUAUGUUAAAAGCACCAAUUCAGAAAUUUGCUGAUUAUCUUUUAGGUGUUGGUGUCAAGCUUGUUGGCAAUACAGUGUGGAGUACCCUCUUUCAUCAAUUCUUAAUAGUGAUGUCACUAAUAAUCCUUCUGAGGGGGUGUUUGUUGGGCUGCUUCUUUCAAUGUCAUUAACAACAGUGGU